rnacentral:tRNA from 1 species
GCCGAAGUGGCGGAAUGGCAGACGCCAGAGACUUAAAAUCUUUUGUCCAUUACGGGCGUGCGGGUUCGAGUCCCGCCUUCGGCAC